GACGAACGCUGGCGGCGUGCCUAACACAUGCAAGUCGAACGGUGUAUUUCUUCGGAGAUACUUAGUGGCGAACGGGUGAGUAACGCGUGAGAAACCUGCCUUUCAGUGGGGGACAACAGUUGGAAACGACUGCUAAUACCGCAUAAUGUUAUUUGGGGGCAUCCCCGAAUAACCAAAGAUUUAUUGCUGAAAGAUGGUCUCGCGUCUGAUUAGCUAGAUGGCGGGGUAACGGCCCACCAUGGCGACGAUCAGUAGCCGGUCUGAGAGGAUGAACGGCCACAUUGGGACUGAGAUACGGCCCAGACUCCUACGGGAGGCAGCGGUGGGGAAUAUUGGGCAAUGGGCGAAAGCCCGACCCAGCAACGCCGCGUGAAGGAAGAAGGCCUUCGGGUUGUAAACUUCUUUUACCAGGGACGAAGAACGUGACGGUACCUGGAGAAAAAGCAACGGCUAACUACGUGCCAGCAGCCGCAGUAAAAC
rnacentral:rRNA from 1 species